rnacentral:rRNA from 1 species
UACGAAGGGUGCUAGCGUUACUCGGAAUUACUGGGCGUAAAGCGUGCGUAGGUGGUCUGCUAAGUCUGAUGUGAAAGCCCUGGGCUCAACCUGGGAAUGGCAUUGGAAACUGGCGGGCUAGAGUGCGGUAGAGGGUAGUGGAAUUCCAGGUGUAGCAGUGAAAUGCGUAGAGAUCGGGAGGAACAUUCGUGGCGAAGGCGGCUACCUGGACCAGCACUGACACUGAGGCAAGAAAGCGUGGGGAGCAAACCGG